UUGAAUGGAAUUCUUCGGAAGGAAGCUCAAGUGACUGAGUGGCGGACGGGUGAGUAACGCGUGGGUAACCUGCCUCAUACAGGGGGAUAACAGUUAGAAAUGACUGCUAAUACCGCAUAAGCACACGUGAUCGCAUGAUCGAGUGUGAAAAACUCCGGUGGUAUGAGAUGGACCCGCGUCUGAUUAGCUAGUUGGUGGGGUAACGGCCCACCAAGGCGACGAUCAGUAGCCGGCCUGAGAGGGUGAACGGCCACAUUGGGACUGAGACACGGCCCAAACUCCUACGGGAGGCAGCAGUGGGGAAUAUUGCACAAUGGGGGAAACCCUGAUGCAGCGACGCCGCGUGAAGGAUGAAGUAUUUCGGUAUGUAAACUUCUAUCAGCAGGGAAGAAAAUGACGGUACCUGACUAAGAAGCCCCGGCUAACUACGUGCCAGCAGCCGCGGUAAUACGUAGGGGGCAAGCGUUAUCCGGAUUUACUGGGUGUAAAGGGAGCGUAGACGGCAGUGCAAGUCUGAAGUGAAAGCCCGGGGCUCAACCCCGGGACUGCUUUGGAAACUGUGCAGCUAGAGUGUCGGAGAGGCAAGCGGAAUUCCUAGUGUAGCGGUGAAAUGCGUAGAUAUUAGGAGGAACACCAGUGGCGAAGGCGGCUUGCUGGACGAUGACUGACGUUGAGGCUCGAAAGCGUGGGGAGCAAACAGGAUUAGAUACCCUGGUAGUCCACGCCGUAAACGAUGACUACUAGGUGUCGGGGAGCAAAGCUCUUCGGUGCCGCAGCCAACGCAAUA
rnacentral:rRNA from 1 species